AGAGAGUUAAAGAGGACGUGAAACCAAUGGGGACGAAGCUGAUAGAGUUAGCGAAUCGAUCUGUGAUCAGUGCGUUCUGCUGCUUGUGUGUGCGUGAGCGGCCUGUUGAGGCGAGCUGCGUGCUGCUUGAUGAGUGGAAGGACGUACGCAUUCAUAGGUUGACUGCGUCGAGACUGCCGAGAUGCCCUUCUGAAGGUGUGAGGGUGGCCCACGCUUGUGGUGUCCUCUUCGUGCUGGAGGUUGUUGUGUGUCUUGGUAGUGAUUGAGUUUCGAAGCGAAAGCGUUUGCGGUGCGGCUUCUGUUCGGUUGCGGCUUGCUGCGGCUGUCUCAAGUUGUAUCGUUUGCGUCGUAGUUAGAAGCGGCUCUCGGCGUGAAUGCUGACCACCUAUCAGACCCGUCUUGAAACACGGACCAAGAAGUCUAGUAUUAUCGCGAGUCAAUGGGCUUUGAAGCCUACUGGCGUAAUGAGAGUAACUCAUAUGUGAUCAGUGCUUCGGUGCUGCGCAACAUAGCCCCGUGCCAAAUGCUUGCAUUAGUGCGGAGGUAGAGCGGUAAUACUGGGACCCGAAAGAUGGUGAACUAUGCCUGAGCAGGAUGAAGCCAGAGGAAACUCUGGUGGAAGUCCGAAGCGGUUCUGACGUGCAAAUCGAUCGUCUGACUUGGGUAUAGGGGCGAAAGACUAAUCGAACCAUC
rnacentral:rRNA from 1 species